rnacentral:rRNA from 1 species
UGGGGGAUAUUGCACAAUGGGCGAAAGCCUGAUGCAGCGACGCCGCGUGGGGGAUGAAGGCCUUCGGGUUGUAAACUUCUUUUGCUCUGAACAAGGCAUGCCUUUGGGGUGUGUUGAGUGUAGGGGUUGAUUAGCGCCGGCUAACUACGUGCCAGCAGCCGCGGUAAUACGUAGGGCGCGAGCGUUGUCCGGAAUUAUUGGGCGUAAAGGGCUUGUAGGUGGCUGGUUGCGUCUGUCGUGAAAGCUCAUGGCUUAACUGUGGGUUUGCGGUGGGUACGGGCUGGCUCGAGAGGAGUAGGGGAGGCUGGAAUUCCUGGUGUAGCGGUGGAAUGCGCAGAUAUCAGGAGGAAUACCGGUGGCGAAGGCGGGUCUCUGGGCUGUUACUGACGCUGAGGAGCGAAAGCGUGGGGAGCGAACAGG